GGGUCAGUAUGUUGGUCGUGCUUCGGUACGUACUGUCAUUACUGGUUUCUACCUUCUGAAGAACCACGAUGUCAUUAAUUUGGUGUCAUGGGGAAUCAGGACUGUUACUUUGAAAAAAUUAGAGUGUUCAAAGCAGGCAUUAGCUUGAAUACAUUAGCAUGGAAUAAUAAAAUAGGACUU
rnacentral:rRNA from 1 species